UAUUGCAUCUCAACGCAAGAUGGAGGGAUUAAAUGCGUAAAUUACCCAUUAGGGCAAAGCAUGCGCAGAUCCCCCAUCAGACGGCACCGUUUCAAUCAACAUAAAGCUAAGAAAUUUACUGCUUUCUGCAGUUUCAUUUUGCUGCAAAGAACACAAAUAAAAAAUAAAAAUAAAAGGGAGAAUCCCUUUUCUGCUGGGGUUCUAAGGCUAGAAGCCCCGCCGCCGUAGCGCCUCCCCACCGCCCGGUGGCCGGAGCCCUGCGAGGGCGUCUCCCACCAGCGCUUUGGAGCGCGUUCAGAGACCAAGGCUCCGAAACGGGGAAACGAGGGGAAACGGAAAGCCUCUGCCCCUUCCUAAACUCGCGUCCGACGACGGCGAAGGGCCGACGGCGACGACGGCUUCAGGGGCCGAUUCAGGUACUUGACGAAGGCAGAGGCGUGGCUUGCCGUUUUGGUGCUAGGCGGUGGCUAGGGUGUCAGGUAAGCCUCGGGACGAGGCGCGGAUGGUACGCCCGAGGGAGUAGCGCACAUGGGCAGUAGGGCUACGGCGCGAAAGGGCAGGGAACCCUAGGGUUCCCUGUGCUGUUUAGUUUUUUGGGCCCCAAUGGGCCGUUUUAAAUUUUGGGCCUUGGGCUAUUGGGUAUUUGUUUUUGUAAUUGGGCCUCGGGUUAAUAUUUUUGGCACUAGGCCCGGGUAAAAUUGGGUCUGUACAAGUCACUCAGAUUAAAAAACUUUCAAAUCGGUAACUGUCGCUACAAUAGUUUAUUGUUUUGGUCA